rnacentral:lncRNA from 1 species
CGUAUCUUAUCUUACAGAAAAGGACGGUUGCGAUGGCCAAGAUCUCCUUGCCAUCGCCCAAGAUGCAGACGUACCAAGGCACUACAUCUCUAAUAUAAAAGAGCGUCUAAAGUUUCAGAAAUUGAUUGCAAUGAACGCUGAACCUAGAGAUGACACGAGUUCUUCGUCGCGUGCAUAAUCAAGUCCUUCGAGUAAGGCGUUUCAAACGUCGAUUGAUGAUUCAGAAAACAUCAGCGAUUAUGAAAAUUUAGAGGUGACAUCGGCACCGAAAGAAAAGAGUAAAUCGCCCAAGGAUCUCUGUUUUACGGACGAGGCGACAGAACUGAGCAUUGUCUAAGAAAACACACAAGCUGCCAGUUCGUCAGUUAAGAUGAGAAAUCUCGGGGAUAGCACCUACAAAAAUGGUUCCUCCUGGAUGGCUUUCAAAAUUCCAACCACCAUCGAGGUUCUCUGCCUCAGAAGAGUUGGAUAUCCAGAAGAGAUAUCUCACCAGCAGCCCAAAGUACUCUGGGCAGCAGUGAAUUGCAAAAAAAAAAUUGCAUAGUAUCCUUGUAUGGCUAGCAGGAUACUAGACUAAGUUGACUUGGAAACUGAAUGGACUGGUAUGGUUUAAAAAUCUAUUGAUUUGCCUCUUCUGCUUGCAGUGAAGAGAGACAAUUUUGUGGUGCUGAAUCUCUUGCCUUAAACUAAAAAGUUGCAAAAUAAUCA